CUCUCUAUUGCCCAUAAGUUAUUGAAGGGCUGAUCGGGGUUCCAAAUCUAGACAAACAUUUCUUGAUAUCUUGCCUUAUGUCAAGAUAAAUGAUACUACUCCGAGUGGAAACAAAGUGGCUUGAGCAGAUAUAUGUUCACAUCCAUAUCCAAAACACUUCCUAUCGGGUUCACUUACCUGAUCAAAGUAUUUUUUAUCUUCAAGGCAAUGUGGCAUUUUCCACCAUUUUGAUCAGUCUGUCAAUUUCUUACUCUUUUCUUCCUGAAACUGAAUGUAACUAGUUUAGCAAUACAAACAUCACAAUCUCUGCUUUGAAUAGAGCGACAUUGAAUAUCCUAAGUGACUCUCACCCGAACAAUUGAUAGUA
rnacentral:lncRNA from 1 species